rnacentral:rRNA from 1 species
UACAGAGGGGGCAAGCGUUGUUCGGAAUUACUGGGCGUAAAGGGCGCGUAGGCGGCCCGCUAAGUCGAACGUGAAAUCCCCCGGCUCAACCGGGGAACGGCCGGGCAUACUGGCGGUCUUGAGCGGCCUAGGGGCAGAUGGAACAGGCGGUGGAGCGGUGAAAUGCGUAGAUAUCGCCUGGAACGCCGACGGUGAAAACAGUCUGCUGGGGGCUCGCUGACGCUGAGACACGAAAGCCAGGGGAGCAAACGGG